rnacentral:rRNA from 1 species
UGGGGAAUAUUGGACAAUGGGCGAAAGCCUGAUCCAGCCAUGCCGCGUGUGUGAAGAAGGUCUUCGGAUUGUAAAGCACUUUAAGUUGGGAGGAAGGGCAGUAAGCGAAUACCUUGCUGUUUUGACGUUACCGACAGAAUAAGCACCGGCUAACUCUGUGCCAGCAGCCGCGGUAAUACAGAGGGUGCAAGCGUUAAUCGGAAUUACUGGGCGUAAAGCGCGCGUAGGUGGUUCGUUAAGUUGAAUGUGAAAGCCCCGGGCUCAACCUGGGAACUGCAUCCAAGACUGGCGGGCUAGAGUAGGGCAGAGGGUGGUGGAAUUUCCUGUGUAGCGGUGAAAUGCGUAGAUAUAGGAAGGAACACCAGUGGCGAAGGCGACCACCUGGGCUCAUACUGACACUGAGGUGCGAAAGCGUGGGGAGCAAACAGG